rnacentral:rRNA from 1 species
CCUACGGGAGGCUGCAGUCGAGAAUCAUACACAAUGGGGGAAACCCUGAUGGGGCGACGCCGCGUGGGGGAAUGAAGGUCUCCGGAUUGUAAACCCCUGUCAUGUGGGAGCAAAUUAAAAAGAUAGUACCACAAGAGGAAGAGACGGCCAACUCUGUGCCAGCAGCCGCGGUAAUACAGAGGUCUCAAGCGUUGUUCGGGAUCACUGGGCGUAAAGCGUACGUAGGAUGUUUCGUAAGUCGUGUGUGAAAGGCGCGGGCUCAACCCACGGACGGCACAUGAUACUGCGAGACUAGAGUAAUGGAGGGGGAACCGGAAUGCUCGGUGUAGCAGGGAAAGGCGUAGAUAUCGAGAGGAACACUCGGGGCGAAGGCGGGUUCCGGGACAUGAACGGACGCUGAGGCACGAAGGCCAGGGGAGCGAAAGGGAUUAGAUACCCGUGUAGUC